UUCCUUCCUCCUAUGACAGUGUCAAGCCUGUGACUGUGUUUCAGGGAAGACAGGUGCAAGCUGAUGGCUCCCCAUAUCUAGAAGCUGCUGAUUUGAAAAACACUCUAGUCAAGAAAAAUGUAGCUUUCUAUUAGCAAAGCAGCCACACAGACCAUCCAUACUCUCAGAGAAGAGCUAAUUUUCUGGCUGUGGUCACAGGCAAUCAAAACUAUCAUAUUGAUCCUCAAGAGCGAUUCCUAAUUAGCUACAGAGUAAUCUCCUAGAUUUCCCCAAGGCCAGAGUGCCUGACCGUGGCAUUAGUGGGCUGGACAGAACCACUAGCCCUGACCCCAGGCCCCUGUGCCACGUACCACGGAGGAAUUGGACCAGGAUGAGUAAACACUCUGGGAACUUCUGUGCACACACGACAAGCUGCAGACAAAACUCCUCAGACACGGAGUCAAAGAAGGAAGAGGUUUAUUCGGCCGGGAGCAUCGGCAGGACUCCUGUCUCAAGAGCCAAGCUCCCCAGACCCACUAAUGGACUAAGUAAUGUUUCUGUUGGUGACUCUAAGCAAGGAAAACAAAUAAGGCAAAGAAGGAGGUAAAAGAGACAAGUAAGACAUCUGAGAACCUGCAAUGACUCUUGGGAAGACAUCAAAGCAGAAAAAGAAAGAAGUGGCAAGUGACAAAAGAGAUGUUUUUGACCUUCGUGGAGAAGAAGUUUGGUGGUGGGGCAGGAGCAGAAGUUAGAACUCGGGAUUUCUUUGUUCACCUUGGCUGCGAAGCCACCCAUAUAUGACCAGUGUUGAAACUCAUUGCACCAGGCCAACCAAUUAGUCUGUAUUGGCCCCAUAAACUUUGAGCUGACAAGUAUCAAGUGAAAGGUUCUUGAGAAUAAGACUGAAAAAUCCUUCUUACUUCCCCCUACAAAAAAAAUUCUCCAGCCCCAGAAUGUUAUUCCUUCCCAAGAAACACAAAUUAACUAGCUGCACUAAUGACCUCCAGACCAACACAAACCCAUUUCCCCUUGAAAUUAACCUUCUAUUCUGAAUCUAAACAGUGUCUAAUUAGCCCCAAACACUGGUGAGCUAACUGGAAGAGAAGAAUGUAGGAAAUCAAAACAAGGGGAUAGUUUUACGGUUGGAAAAAAAAAAAUAGCGAAAAGCCAUCCUCCAAUUAUCCUAUCCUUCUAACCUCCGCCCCCAGAUCCUUAUCCUGCAUCUUCAUUUGUCUUCCUUUCCGUAAACCUUGUAAAGGAGUCUGCUUUUCAGACAAAUAUUUUUCCCAGCUCAUUUGACACCUAGAAGGCAGGAAAAAUAUUGCCCAUCACGAUAAAUAUAAUAUUCCAAUUUUCCAGCAUUUGACAGCAAUCAAGGGAAGAGUAAUGUGUUCCCUCUGUGACUAAAUCAUUUAGAGACCAAGGUAUUCUGUCUCAUUCUCAUUAGGAAAAAAAAAUAUUCCAAUAAUCUCAUUAUCCCAGUGUGAAUAACAGUAAAAAAGCACCAAGACUAAUGACUUCUUCCGCGCUUGCCUCCGCAGAUACCAGCCCAGGCCGUGCUUUUAUAGGCAAUGCUUGGGUAAUGGAGUCUCCCUUAGCAGCGAUCCUGUAGCAUCUGCUGCUCUGAAAGCCCUGCCUAACACAUUCUGCUUUGUCUGCAGCAAGGUUUACACACACCCCUGGACUCCAAAGACUCUUUUUUAUGUACUUUUUAAAAAACUAACUCCAAUGGAAAAAGAAUGUGUCAUGGCAUGUUAAACUUUAUGGAAAUUCUUCUGGAGAAUAACAUAAUUUCACGGUGCAUUACUCUGAAAUGACCUAGUACUUGAACAAUUAAUUUUUAAGGUGUAGCAUUGACUUCCCCUUGCUGUAUUUAACCCAUAUCUGAAAUUGUCAACAAUGCCAAGGGUUGGACAAUGAGUUGGGAGAAGAGCAGGAGCCUGAAAAUUACUCCCUAUCUACUAUGUUUUCUUUUAUCAGACAUAAUGCUUCCCUCUUUGGUUCAAAAAUGAAAAGAGAAGGGAGCAGGUACUUUAGUUAGGGACACUUCAUAGGCAGCACAGCCUGGCAGGUAAAUAGUGCAGUCCUGGAGACAUAAACUCGACGUCUUACCUUUGUCAUUAAUUUACUGUGUAGCCUUAGAGAAACUCCUUUUUCUCUCUGUAGCUAAAAUGGGGGAAGGAGAGGUUUUGUUUGUUAUGCCCCCAAAAGGAAUUCAGUGAUAGAAAAUGAAUAGAUGUAUAAUAUAUCCUCUGAUUCCUUGAAAUAAAAGCU
rnacentral:lncRNA from 1 species